GGAGGUGUGGCUCAGUGGCAGAGCACUUGCCUAUCAUGUGUGAGCUCCUGAGUUCAAUGCUCAGUACCAUCA
rnacentral:tRNA from 1 species